rnacentral:rRNA from 1 species
UACAGAGGGUGCGAGCGUUAAUCGGAAUUACUGGGCGUAAAGCGUGCGCAGGCGGUUAUGUAAGACAGGUGUGAAAUCCCCGGGCUUAACCUGGGAACUGCAUUUGUGACUGCACGGCUAGAGUGUGUCAGAGGGGGGUAGAAUUCCACGUGUAGCAGUGAAAUGCGCAGAUAUCAGGAGGAACACCGGUGGCGAAGGCGGCCACCUGGACGGUAACUGACGCUGAGACGCGAAAGCGUGGGGAGCAAACAGG